GCAGUAUGUUCUGCUGAUUCCUUCUGUUCUACAAGAAGGCUCUUUGGAUAAAGCUUGUGCCCAGCUUUUUAAUCUCACUGAAUCUGUUGUUUUGACGGUCUCCCUCAACUAUGGUGAGGUCCAGACCAAAAUAUUUGAAGAAAAUGUUACUGGAGAAAAUUUCUUCAAAUGCAUCAGCUUUGAGGUUCCUCAGGCCAGAUCUGACCCACUGGCAUUUAUUACAUUUUCUGCUAAAGGAGCCACUCUCAACCUGGAAGAGAGGAGAUCUGUGGCAAUCAGAUCCAGAGAGAAUGUGGUCUUUGUACAGACUGAUAAACCCACCUACAAGCCUGGACAGAAAGUAUCCAGUGAUCACCCUUCAGGAUCCAGAAGGCAAUCGAAUACAACAGUGGGUGAAUGAGGAGUCUGUGGGAGGGAUUCUACAACUCUCCUUCCAGUUAAUCUCAGAGCCCAUCCUCGGAUGGUAUGAAAUCACCGUGGAGAUGCUCAAUGAGAAGAAAACAUAUCACUCCUUCUCUGUGGAAGAAUAUGUGUUACCCAAAUUUCAAAUGACUGUGGAUGCACCAGAAAAUAUCUUAGUUGUGGACUCUGAAUUCAAAGUGAAUGUCUGUGCCUUAUAUACCUAUGGUGAACCUGUGGACGGGAAGGUCCAACUUAGUGUGUGCAGAGAAUCUACGGCUUAUCAUUCAUGUGCUCAUCUUAUCAGUUCACUCUGUAAAAAUUUUACCAUUCAGUUGGGGAAAGAUGGCUGUGUCUCCAAGUUUAUUAACACAGAUGCUUUUGAGUGAAAUCGGGAAGGAUACUGGAGUUUCCUCAAAGUGCAUGCUCUUGUUACAGAGGACGGAACAGAUUAAAUUGCUUAAUCCAGACAACUCUCCAAUCCCAAAUGAAGUUGUUCAGUUGCAUCUGAAGGACAAAAUCGUGGGAAACUACACCACAGAUGUAAAUGGCAUCGCUCAGUUUUUCUUGGACACAUAUACGUUUACAUACCCAAAUAUCACUUUGAAAGCAGCCUACAAGGCCAAUGAAAAUUGCCAGGCUCAUGGCUGGGUGUUGCCUCAAUACCCUCAGCCCGAGUACUUUGCAUAUCGAUUUUACUCCAAGAUGAAUAGCUUCCUAAAGAUUGUCCAAGAGAUGGAAGAACUGAGAUGCAACCAGCAGAAGAGGGUGCUAGUGCACUGCAUUCUCAAUAUGGAAGACUUUGAAGACAAAACCUACACAGCAGACUUCAAUUAUUUGGUGAUUUCAAAAGGUGUAAUCAUUCUUCAUGGGCAACAGAAAAUUGAGAUCAACGAAAAUGGGAGGAAGGGCAUAUUUUCCAUUUCUAUAGACAUUAACCCUGAAUUAGCGCCCUCAGUACAUAUGCUUGUCUAUAGCUUGCAUCCUGGAGGAGAAAUGGUCACUGAUAGCACCCAAUUCCAAUUGAGAAAUGCUUCGAAAAUCAGGUCAACUUAAAUUUUUCUAAAGAAAAAAGUUUACCAGGAUCCAAUGUCGAUCUUCAAGUCUCGGCUGCUUCAAACUCUCUUUAUGCUCUUUGGGCGGUAGACCAGAGGGUAUUGCUACUAAGGAAUUAUGGUCAGCUGCCAGCACAAACUGUGUAUAGUCAGCUACAUUCCAGCGAACUACAUGGCUAUUAUUUCAGAGGACUUAACUUAGAAGAUGGCCUUAAAGUGCCGUGUCUUGAAGAUGGACAUAUCCUUUACAAUGGAAUUUAUUACACACCUGCAUGGGCUGACUUUGGAAAAGAUGGCUAUGACCUUGUGAAGGCAACAGGAUUAAAGAUUUUUACCAACUCUCACCUCCGGAAACCAGUAUUGUGCAAGGAUUCUAACCAUCUUGAAUCUACUGAUUACAUACCCUUAGGAUCCUCAAAACAAUCGGAUUUUUCAAUGGCAAAAUGUGACUUCUUUCCGAAAUAUUACCCAACUCUCGUUCCAACUGAUUUCAGAACCAAUGUUUGGAGAUUACUGGAUUGUUGUGAAAAGAAACUCAAGGAAGACAGUGACACACCAAUUUGCUGUUAAAAGAUAUGUGCUGCCCAAGUUUGAAGUUACGGUCAAUGCACCACAAACAGUAACUAUUUCAGAUGAUGAAUUCCAAGUGGAUGUAUGUGCUAAGUAUGCAGAUCAGUGAGAAGACCUCAGUUUUUAUCACUCAAUUGCUUGGAACUGUAAACUUUGAGAACAUGGAUACUUUCUACAGAAGAGGGAUUUCUUAUUUUGGAACUCUUAAAUUUUCGGAUCCCAAUAAUGUACCUAUGGUGAACAAGUUGUUGCAACUGGAGCUCAAUGAUGAAUUUAUAGGAAAUUAUACUACGGACGAGAAUGGCGAAGCUCAAUUUUCCAUUGACACUUCAGACAUAUUUGAUCCAGAGUUCAACCUAAAAGCCACAUAUGUUCGACCUAAGAGCUGCUAUCUUCCCAGCUGGUUGACGCCUCAGUACUUGGAUGCUCACUUCUUAGUCUCACGCUUUUACUCCCGAACGAACAGCUUCCUGAAGAUUGUUCCAGAACCAAAGCAGCUUGAAUGUAAUCACCAGAAGGUUGUUACUGUGCAUUACUCCCUAAACAGUGAAGCAUAUGAGGAUGAUUCCAAUGUAAAGUUCUUCUAUUUGAUGAUGGUAAAAGGAGCUAUCUUACUCAGUGGACAAAAGGAAAUCAGAAACAAAGCCUGGAAUGGAAACUUCUCGUUCCCACUCAGCAUCAGUGCUGAUCUGGCUCCUGCAGCCGUCCUGUUUGUCUACACCCUUCACCCCAGUGGGGAAAUUGUGGCUGACAGUGUCAGAUUCCAGGUUGACAAGUGCUUUAAACACAAGGUUAACAUAAAGUUCUCUAACGAGCAGGGCUUACCUGGUUCCAAUGCUAGUCUCUAUCUUCAAGCGGCGCCUGUCUUAUUCUGUGCCCUCGGGGCUGUGGAUGGGAACGUCCUUCUACUGAAAUCUGAACAACAGCUGUCAGCUGAAAGUGUGUAUAACAUGGUUCCAAGUAUAGAGCCGUAUGGUUAUUUCUACCAUGGCCUCAAUCUUGAUGAUGGCAAGGAAGACCCUUGCAUUCCUCAGAGGGAUAUGUUCUACAAUGGUUUAUAUUACACACCUGUAAGCAACUAUGGGGAUGGAGAUAUCUAUAAUAUUGUCAGGAACAUGGGUCUCAAAGUCUUUACCAAUCUCCAUUACCGAAAACCAGAAGUAUGUGUGAUGGAGAGAAGGCUGCCACUCCCUAAGCCGCUUUAUCUAGAAACAGAAAAUUAUGGUCCAAUGCAUAGUGUUCCGUCUAGAAUUGCAUCUAGUGGAAUCAGAGGGGAGAAUGCUGACUAUGUAGAACAGGCUAUAAUUCAAACAGUAAGAACAAACUUCCCAGAGACAUGGAUGUGGGACCUCGUCAGUGUCGAUUCCUCAGGCUCUGCCAAUCUUUCGUUCCUCAUUCCUGAUACGAUAACCCAAUGGGAGGCAAGUGGCUUUUGUGUGAAUGGCGACGUUGGAUUUGGCAUUUCCUCUACAACCACUCUAGAAGUCUCCCAACCUUUCUUUAUUGAAAUUGCCUCACCCUUUUCGGUUGUUCAAAAUGAACAAUUUGAUUUGAUUGUCAAUGCCUUCAGCUACCUGAAUACAUGUGUAGAGAUUUCUGUUCAAGUGGAGGAGUCUCAGAAUUAUGAAGCAAAUAUUAAUACCUGGAAAAUCAAUGGCAGUGAGGUUAUUCAAGCUGGAGGGAGGAAAACAAACAUCUGGACUAUUAUACCUAAGAAAUUGGGUAAAGUGAAUAUCACUGUAGUUGCUGAGUCCAAACAAAGCAGUGCUUGCCCAAAUGAAGGAAUGGAGCAGCAAAAGCUAAACUGGAAAGACACUGUGGUCAAAAGCUUCUUAGUAGAGCCUGAAGGUAUUGAAAAGGAAAGGACCCAGAGUUUCCUUAUCUGUACAGAAGGUGCCAAAGCCUCCAAGCAGGGAGUUUUGGACUUGCCAAAUGAUGUAGUAGAAGGGUCAGCCAGAGGCUUUUUCACUGUUGUGGGGGAUAUUCUAGGACUUGCCAUGCAGAAUCUGGUUGUUCUCCAAAUGCCCUAUGGAGGUGGAGAGCAGAAUGCUGCCCUACUAGCAUCUGAUACUUAUGUUCUGGACUAUCUGAAAUCUACUGAGCAACUGACAGAGGAAGUUCAAUCUAAGGCUUUCUUUCUCUUAUCUAAUGGUUAUCAAAGGCAAUUAUCUUUCAAAAACUCUGAUGGUUCCUAUAGUGUGUUUUGGCAGCAGAAUCAGAAAGGAAGCAUAUGGCUCAGUGCUCUUACUUUUAAGACAUUGGAGAGAAUGAAAAAAUUUGUAUUCAUUGAUGAAAAUGUUCAAAAACAGACCUUAAUCUGGCUUUCAAGCCAACAGAAAACAAGCGGCUGCUUUAAGAAUGAUGGCCAGCUUUUCAACCACGCCUGGGAGGGUGGAGAUGAAGAGGACAUUUCACUCACUGCAUAUGUUGUUGGGAUGUUCUUUGAAGCUGGGCUCAAUUCCACUUUUCCUGCUCUACGAAACGCACUCUUUUGCCUUGAAGCGGCAUUGGACAGUGGUGUCACUAAUGGCUACAAUCAUGCAAUUCUAGCUUAUGCUUUUGCCUUAGCUGGAAAAGAGAAGCAAGUGGAAUCUUUACUCCAAACCCUGGAUCAAUCUGCCACAAAACUAAAUAAUGUCAUCUACUGGGAAAGAGAAAGGAAACCCAAGACAGAAGAAUUUCCAUCCUUUAUUCCCUGGGCACCUUCUGCUCAGACUGAGAAGAGUUGCUAUGUGCUGUUGGCUGUCAUUUCCCGGAAAAUUCCUGACCUCACCUAUGCUAGUAAGAUUGUGCAGUGGCUUGCCCAACAGAUGAAUUCCCAUGGAGGCUUUUCUUCCAACCAGGCUCUGGUAGAUUGCAAACGACCUGCUUUCUUUGUGAUCCCGGGCUGCAUUCGGACCCCUGUCGGACAGUAAAUCCCAAGCUCCGGUAGAUUGCAAACGACCUGCUUUCUUCCUGAUCCCGGGCUGCGUUCGGACCCCUGUGGUAUAGUAAAUCCCAAGUAAGGUACCUGCGGUCGGCAGAUCUGAGCUUUCUUCUUGGACACCUAAUACCCAGGGUCCUCCAGCUGCGUUCGGACCCCUGUCGGAUAGUAAAUCCCAGUAAGGUACCUGCCGUGGGCAGAUCUGAGCUUUCUUCUUGGACACCCCAUACCCACAGUCCUCCAGGCCACCCUUAAGUACAAUGUUCUCCUACCUAAGAAGGCAUCUGGAUUUUCUCUUUCCUUGGAAAUAGUAAAGAACUACUCUUUGACUGUUUUUGACCUCACAGUGAACCUCAAAUACACUGGAAUUCGCAAUAAAUCCAGUAUGGUGGUUAUAGAUGUAAAAAUGCUAUCAGGAUUUACUCCAACCAUGUCAUCCAUUGAAGAGCUUGAAAACAAGGGCCAAGUGAUGAAGACUGAAGUCAAGAAUGACCAUGUUCUUUUCUACUUGGAAAAUGUUUUUGGUCGAGCAGACAGUUUCACUUUUUCUGCUGAGCAGAGCAACCUUGUGUUCAACAUUCAGCCAGCCCCAGGCAUGGUCUACGAUUAGUACGAAAAAGGUGGAGAAGCAUUUCUUUUAACAAACUGAUUCUUCUGUAUCAAACCUGGAAAAAAAUCAUGAACCAUCUGACAUCGUGAACAGUCUGCAGUGGGCUAUGGUUUCUUGACAAGUCUUAUUUCCUUAUCAUCCCAUUAAAUGUUGUCAUUUUGCAUCUGA